GUUCAAUUGCCCCUGCUGAUUUGGAAUAGGCUCUUAUGUAUACAGUGCUAGUGCUGGCCAGCCUUUUUAGUCUAGGAGACAAACAGGAACCUUGUUUUGGGACGUUGCUCCAAUAAGCUGCACACUCGGAAAUACCAGCAGCUGGAGGGUGCCACAGUGGAACACUGGAGACCUCACACUAUAUGAAGACCUGCUUUUGCCAAGACGCACAGCCAUCGCUUAGGUGCAACAUACAUACUGGCUGGUGCUCUGUAUGUUCCGUUAAAGCUCAUCUCCAUUCUGACACUGAGCGUAUACCCACAGAUUAAUGAGCUUCAGUACCCAAAAAUUAACCCUGUUGAAACAGAAGAGGAUGGGACAUUCACUUUAAAUUUGUUUGCUGUCACAACACAUUGGCCCCAAACUCCUAGGCCACCCAGACCAGACUUACAGGAGCCAACAAGACAAUCAGGUGAUGGGGGAUAUGGCUGCUUCUCUUGGCUUCUUACUCCAUUGUCCCAACCUGAUUCCCCUGCUGAACACAAUUACAAUAAUGCACAUAAGUCAACGCAGAAUGUGAUAGAAAGAUGUUUUGGGGUGCUGAAAUCUAGGUUUCGUGUCUAGAUAAGUCUGAAGGGCUUUUGUUGUAUAGUCCCUUAAAGGUGACUAGGAUUGUGUUCUGCUGCUGUUUUCUUCAUAACAUGUGUUUGUGCCAACAUCUGCCACAUGUUGAGGAGGAGGAGGCUGAUGUUGGUGAUGAAGAAAACAGUCAGAAAGUAGAGGAGUUAGAAACAUCUGACGACAGUGUGAGUACAGAUGUAGGGAGGCAGGUAAGGCAAGAACUGAUUCUGCGUUAUUUUACAGGUAAGUCUUAAUUUUGCAUAAUCAACAUUGGCUAACCCCAAUCCUAAAAUAUAUGUAGUUAUGAAUUCUGUUUGUGAUGCGUUAUUGUUUGAUAUUAAUCAUGUUGUUUACAGUUAGUCAAUAAAAUUUUCGUCUUACACUGUCAGUCAAUAAGAAAUUAAACAUUACACAUAUUGCAUUUGAGUAAUUUAUUACCUUAAAC